UCCAUAAAGAUAAAAGAAAGUUUUAUUCAUGCAUGCCAUAUUAGUAACCAUAGGAUUACAACCCAAAAUGAAUACUACUAUUGUCUAUGGAAUCUCUAUAACACGGAAUGGAAUAUCCAACCAAGGCAUAACCCGGUUGCUCAAAAGGAUAAUAAUAUAAUAAAGUUCUCCACGGGUACGAGUGUGGAGUCUCACCAAAAGCGUGAACAGAAAAUGUAGAGCCGCCCUAACCGCGCGACUCAAGCUGCUCAGGUCCAGUCCCUGAAAACAUAAAUGGAAAUGUGGCCGAAAGGCCUGAGCUCCACAUGCCUAGUACGAAUUAUGAACCAUUCCUCAAAAGAAAAUAGGACAAGACUUAAGAAGAUAUAAGAUAUGCAAUAACAAUUGACAUAAGAAAAGAAGCCUUCAUAUCAAUUAACAAUUUAGAAAAUAAAAUAAAAUAAUAUGGUAAAACAUAUUUCAAAAUCUUCCUUUAGCAUUAAUCUUUGUAAAUCAUGUUACAAUUUUUAUUUACCGGGAGUAUUAUACCAUCACCGACACGAAAAAAGGUCAACCAGGUUAUGUACCUAGCGGCAAGUAUCAUAUACCCUACUUGCUCAGGUCGUCUCAUCGUUGUGCCGCACGAAUCGACUCAGCCGUGCUAAUAAAGUAGCACAAUAGUACCCCCUAAUGGGAAGUACUCUGUCGUAGUUCCCAACCGUAAGGUAAGUUCUACGCGUACACCGACACGUGUAGUUUCAUGACCUAAUGAGAAAAAAUAUCCAAGGUCAAUCUCGGUGAACUUAAGUAACUCCCAAAACCUUUACAUUAAUCAAUGACAAUGUUUAUAGCCAAAUAAACUAUUUGAAAAUAGUUAAAUCCAAGAUAUUUCACAACUCAUGUAUUUCUAUUUCAAAAAUACUACAAAUGCUAUUCUUUAUUUUAGUUUUUAAAAAAAAAAUUGAAUAACAUUUCAAGAAAAUAAUAUUCAUAGAACUUAAAUCUUUUAUGAUGCAAGAAAUGAUAUAAUCCCAACUCGCUCGUCCCCACAAGCUAGGACUCACAUUUAGAAACUCAAUUUAAUCGUGUUUCGAUAUGAGUUUGGAGAAAAGCUCCGAGGGUAAUAAGUUUCAACGUACCUCAAAUAGUUUUCAACCUUACCCCAAAUGAUCCAAUAAUGCCGACGAGUCACAAUCUACAUAUAUGAACUCACAUAAUUGAAUAGCGCGUCACAACAAUGCCAACUAAGCCAACUAAUUGUCUAACACUUAAGUCCAACUUAAUAAGUUUAUCAAAAAUCCACAUUUCAUCAUUUGAAGGUCAAUCCUUGAAUUAUAACUUCAACUCAUUCAUUAAACUUGUUAUUGGAUCUAGUCGUUCCACUAGAAACUUAAAAUAACAUCGUUCAAGCAAGACCCAACACUAUUCAUCAUCCAUACCAAUCAACUCUUCUAGGAUUUCAUGAAUAGAUAUUUAAAUAUAAAUUUAUCUUCAUAAAAAUACUCUACUACGUCCAUGGAGUAUAAUAUAUAAGUUUGGAGUGAAGAAAUUACUUCUUUGUCAAACCCUAAAAAUUUCAAGAUUUGUGUUCUUGAAGUGCUCUUGAGAUUUUCUUCAAAUAUCUAUAAUUUUUGUGUAAUUGAAGAGUUAAGAGAUGUAUUUAAUAGACCAAAUCUACCAAGAAAGACAUUAAAUUCUUACCUUGAAGAAGUAUUAAUGGUAGAGAGCUCCCUUCUCUCUUUAAGUCUUUAAGAACCAACUCCCAAAUAAUAGCACAACCCUUCCCGUAAUAGCCUUUAAAGACAUUCAGCAGACUGCAGCCAUAAAGGAUGCGUCCCCGUCUACAUCGCGCUCGUCCUUCUCAUUCAGCAAAUUUGGACGUGAGGUUUGACGCUUUCAAUGCAGUUC
rnacentral:lncRNA from 1 species